CAUUCCACGAAAUACGAAGAGUUUUUGUUUUGCACAUUGAUCAUCUGCUCGUCGACUUCUUUAGUUGACAUUUUUCCACGGAACAUAGCCGAGGCAGUGAGGUAACGGCCGUGGCGGGGGUCGGCAGCGCACAUCAUGUUCUUAGCGUCCCACAUUUGUUGAGUGAGCUCAGGGAUAGUUAGGGCACGGUACUGCUGUGAUCCUCGGGAGGUCAACGGUGCGAAUCCGACCAUGAAGAAGUGGAGGCGAGGGAAGGGGAUGAGAUUCACGGCGAGCUUGCGAAGGUCGGAGUUCAGUUGACCGGGAAACCGGAGGCAGCAGGUGACGCCGCUCAUCGUAGUUGAAAUCAAGUGGUUCAGGUCUCCAACUGUCACCGACAAUUAUACAAUAAAU
rnacentral:lncRNA from 1 species